rnacentral:lncRNA from 1 species
GGGGGAGGGGGGGAGAUGCAGUCUCCCAACUCAGCAAAUACUGAAGAAAACUAUGCCUGUGAGGACCUGCUGGGCUAAAAGAGCUGAAAUGAAUCAGAAAUGAAAACAGAAUACUUUGUACUUCACACCAGAAGAAAGAUGCACUGCAUUUCUACAUCAAAGGACAAAGAAAUUGAGAGUGGCACUCUCAAAAUGUUACAUCAAAAAAAUAGCUCCUAUUAAUGCCAGUGGGACUCAUGGAAAGAGCUCUGAAAGGGAAGACAAGAGCAACUGUGGUUCAGAGAUGAGCAAUUUGCCCCAUAAUGUGAAGUUACUGAGUUGUGCUGGAACUGGAGAAAACAGAGUUCAGUUCUUUCUUCUACUAUUGCUGGCUUGGAUGACCUGGGGUAAGUCCUGUAAUGUCCAAGACUGAGAAAAGACUGUUUUGGUACCUUACUAUUGCAAUAGACCCUGGCAGCUGAGCUUAGGCCUCUAAAAACCAUUUAUAACUUGUAUGGAGAAUGAUCUCCCUCAGAACAGAUCCACAAUACCAAUUCCACUCUUUUUGUGCUUAGCACAAAGUGGCUUAGCAAGUAGGGGGUUUACUCCAAGAUUAGAGAUUUG